AUAUUCAGAGAAAUCAUAGACAAGUAGGGCUGGAAGGGACUUUCAUAGGUUAGCUAGUCCAACCCACUGUCUGAGGCAGGAUCAUACUUAUCCAAACCAACCCAUACAG